rnacentral:misc_RNA from 1 species
GCUUGCACGUCGCGUACAAGAUACAGUAGCAAGCUCUACCACUGGGUGUGUAUAUACAGCUUCUGGUGGGGUGCGUGUGGAAGUGUUUUGUAGAAAAGUGUGUCCGUGCCUCUGACCGAGUAGAGUGGGUUGGCAGUCCUUCUUGUAAGAUUAGCGCAAGAGAUCGAGUUCAGAAAGAGCGAGCAAGCGAUACCCAAAGGACGCCAAGGCACAGUGGUCAGCGCUGGCGCCUCCCCCUCGCGCGCUCGCUUUCUCGCUCCACGCCUCUGCCCGCUUUCGAUGUGUUGAUCCUCUAGCCGGACCGAUACACACGAUCCCCCGCCCACUCAAGAACUCUCCGUCGCCCCCUCCGCUUCUCGCUCUUCUUCCCUUCGGUCUAUGCCUUGGGAACGAAGUAGACAUACACAUCAUAACACACACACACACACACGCCUCCUUUAGAUUGUUAUAAACUCAUACAUGUGAGGCGACCCUCCCCCUUCCCUUUCCUCUCUUUCCCCUUUACCUUCUCUAUCUCCAGGCACACACGCACAGACACACGCAGACGUACCUCCGUAACUCGCACGGGCGCGUGUUGCAUUAUGGGUGUGUAACGAAGGUAAAGCGCGUUAAAGCAUUCAAAAGACCGCCCCCCCCCUUCCUUCCUUUUCAUGUUUUCUGUGGAAUGUGUGGUAUGCCGGGUUACUGUUGACCGUUUCCUUAUAGCUUCUCGACUCCGUCUUCUAUAUUUUGUUCCCGUCUGUGUUUGUCGACAUCAUUUCUCUGUUUGAAAUCUCCCCGUCUCUCUCUCUCUGGUAUUCAUUCUCGAUUUCUUUCUUCGCAGACCUUCUUACACUGCCGUGUUUUCCCUUCCUCGUGACCUGAAGGCGGUCACUGUUCACCGCCGUGCGUUUUCUCGUCUCUAUCAUUGCCCUCCCCUCCCCUUUCUCUCAUCCCUCGCUGGGUGCGAUAUCAGUGGGCCAACUUGUAUUUCAAGUGAGCUGCGCCUUUCGAACACACAGACGCGCGUACUGCGAGAGAGGAGUAGAGUUGCUAUAGUCUCGGCACAUACACAACCAAUCCUCGUCGCCGCCGCCCCCCUUUCCGCGUCUUCUCUUUGCUUUCCCGCCCUGGUUCUUUUUCGAAAAGAUUGCAUACGUCUGUGUGUGUGCGUGCGUGUGCAUGUGAGCAGCCUCCCCUCCCUCUCUCUUUCUCUCUCUCUUUCUCUCUCUCUCGCUGUACGUCUCCCCUGUGCCGUGGGACGCACUGCCAGCGAGUGCUACCGAAAAAGAAGGCGGGAAAGUACACCGAGUCGCCUUUGCUGUUCCGCUUCCAUCACGGCUGUCGCUGCGCUCUGCUGCGUUCGGCGUGAGUCUGUGUGUCGUUUCCUUUUUUUUGCGUAUUCAAGCGAAUGCUGUCCUCCACCGACUCGCCGCGGGCGCACACGUCGCCGACGGAGAGCCGCGCUGCGCCUAACGGCCUCACUGAGGCUGAUACCGCGUCUCCGACGCGUCGCGAGAGUCUUGUCCCGCAGCUGGCACCCUCCUGCGUCAUCACCCCGCUGCAGGGGAGUGCGGCGUCGCCGAGAACGCUCAGCUGCAGCCGUGGUAGCAGUGAAACGCACUUAAAUGAAGCAGACGCGUCGCAUUUGCAGCACCCACUGUCGCCCAACGCCCUUUCUACGCAGCUCACCCCGAGCACCCCGGCGAAGCAGCGACUGCUAUGUCGAGGCGCUCCUCCGCCAUCGUUGCAGCAGCAGCUGAGUCCAGCCCUGCCAUCGUUGGCACGGCGCCUCUGGAACCAGUUCCCCGUACGCGAGCACCCUUCCCCCCCGCGAGGCAAGAAUGCGAGCGAUGUCGGAGCAGAGGAACGGGCCGCCGCGCAGUUUUCAAUGUUGGACGUGUUUAAUGUUGGAAAUGACGCCAGCCCGCAGCUCUCGACGCUCCUCGGCUCGCCAACGCGGCGCAGCGAGAACUCCCCUGCACUUGAGCGGGUCGGCUCAUCGCAGUCGUCUUUGUUUUCGACGCCAAUGACGCGUCGUCUGCAGGGAUGCAUAACGAAGGAGUCCCCCGAUUAUCGGGCGCUGCCAGCCCCGCACACCUCACCACCCCCACUCACCUUCAGCACGGCGGAUCUGGCGAGUGUGGACAGCGACAAGCGAAUGUGGAAUGUGCACAGGCGCCAGGAUGGCUGGGUGAGGUCACCCAAGGCGGAUUGCCGCGCCUCCGCUUGCCGGCAGCCGCACCCUGGUGGCCAUUACUCGACCCCCGUCGCAUCUCUUCCGCCGCCGCCAGUGCCGCAGCAUGGCAAGAUCUCUCCCCACGAGCCCACUCGUGCCGCUUCAGGUCGCACCGCCAGCCGGUCCAUUGGCCGCAAACGUGACGGGUACACACGCUCCAUUGCGCGCUUCCCAUCCGUGUCAGCCGCCGCUACUCCCUUUCGGGACCUCGAUCAGCACCUUCCAUCGGAGUCAGCAUUUUUCCCCACCAGCUCGAGCGAGGGCCGGCCUCACAGGUACACUGUCUCCCCUGCAAAGCCAAUGUCGCCGAUGAGAGAGAGCAAGUCACGCAGCACCGGCCGUAGUUCAUCUUCCGAUACAGUGGGUGGUGCACGCCACUUUUCCAGCUCUGUAGAGAAAGCAUCGGUGUUCAAGGAGCUGUUAGCUCUCGAUCAUGACGUCGUUUGUGCCUCAAGUGAGGCAACCGCGUCGUCGCGGCGAUGCGGCCGUCGCCGCUACAGUGCCAACACGAGCCCCCCGCAUGAUGGGGACUACAUCGGCGAUGCCUUGACAGCGUCGGCAGAUCAGCGGAUGUUUCUGCAGAUUAAGAGGCAGCCGAAAUUCUGGCCCUCUGACAACACCAGCUGCCGUUUCAGCAACGCCGUCAUCGGGAGCACAGCCCGCCGGGGCGUGAGGCGCAGCAGCAGCAGCCACACGGCAGAUCAAGGCGGCCGGUCAGCUUCCUCCAUGCCUCUCUCAGCUGUGAUGGGGGUAAUUCCACGUGAGGAUUUUGUUCACCGCUUAGGUGGCGAUAGUAUGCAAAGCCUCUCCUCUCUUCCACAACUACAUCAACAGCAGUUGCAGCAACUCCCUGCUUCUCCCUCCGCCCCCCCGUUGCCGCGGACCAGAACUCUCAUGGCAAGUAUCAUGCGCGACCACGCGCCGUGUUCUUCUCUCAGGUCGCCGGAGCUGACCCCGGCAGCGAUGGAGUGGCGCGAGAGUGCAGAAAUGCUGGUGGACUCUUGCUGCUACACUCCGUCGAUCGUCGUCGAGCAGCAGCAGCAGCAGCAGCUUCUGUUAACCCCGCUGAUGGACCAACCGGCGGAGCACAGCACCGCCAGUGUACAAGAGCGUGGCUCUUUAGGUCACCGCGUCAGCCUCUGCAGUCGGCACCGCAGGUCCGUAGCCAACGGCUCCAUCUCCACGGCUCGCAGCAGCAGCAGCAGCAGCAGCAACGCGAGCAGGCGGUGCAGCUGCAGCUCUGCGCCACCGGCACCCGCGCACGCAAAUGCGGAGUCGUCUAUGUCCUUGAAGGUACCCGCACUAGUACCACCGCCGCCGUGGACGCCUAGAGACGCGCUGUACUGGAUGCGAAAUCGGCUCACGCUGCAGGAGCAGGAAGAGAUUCUGGGGUACGACGUGGUAUAUUACUGCGGGCCUCCCGGGCAACCGCGCACGGCGUGCGGGGUAACGGACCGCGCAACACCUCCGCCUUCAUCCCACCACACCUCGAAGGAGACUGCAAGCGUCAGCAGCCUUCCUAAAAACAAGGAGGAAGUAGUAUCUUUCACCGCCCCAUCUUCCUCGUACUUCCCGAUCACCCUAGGCAUGCACAUAUGCUUCCGUUACGAGGUGCUGGAGGUGCUGGGGAUCGGCACGUUCAGCAUCGUUGUGCGCGCCGUCGACCACGCAGCCUCGCCUCUCUCCCCUGAGCGGCACUGUGCGUUGAAGCUGAUUCGGCGCGAGUUGCUAUACCAGAACGCGGCACAGGCAGAGUGGGCCAUCUGCGAGCGACUGAAGGAGUGCUGCGCAGCGAUGCACCCCUGCAGUGGAAGCAACUUUAGGGAGGACGCAAGCGGGGCCGCCGCCGACUAUCGGGACGGGGCAUCGGUGCAUUGCAGGCCCUCCGCAUCGUUGCCAUCAGCGCUGCCUUGGCUGUCCAUGGCGGACCAGCGCACGCUGCUCUUCGGCUCGGUGCUUACCCCACGCAGCCGCUUCGAGUACCGCGGCUACCACGUCAUUGUCUUUCCUCUCCUCGGCUUCAGCGUGCGCGAUGUGGUGGAACUGCGACGCGAGUCGCGAGAAGCGAAGGCUGGCCACGCCGUAAGCGCGUCCUCUUCCCUGCUGCUCGCUAGUGCGCCACCCUCGCAGGCUGGCGGCCAAGCGGCGGGGACAUUACCGACCGAGGUCGUCGGCAGCGUUCUCGCGCAGCUCGCACAUGCCCUUCACUUCAUGCACCACUGCGCGCACGUCCUCCACGGCGACAUCAAGCCGGAGAACAUCGUAUUUGUGGAUCGCUCUGUGAGCGGCCGCAGCAGCAGCAUCAACGGUCAUCUUGCCGAGUCUGGUGGUGCUGCAAGUCAACAACCCCCGCCGCGCCCGCCUUCGCAGCAGCCGCUGCUCCAAGCCCCGCUCCCGCACAAUGGUGAUGCCGGUGCCCUCCCCACCUCGCUCAGCAUGCAUCCUUUCCAUCGGGUGUGCCUCGGUUUCCCGUCGUCGUCGCUCUCGAACACAGCUGCGCCUCCGCCUCCCGUCACGCACAGUGGCACUGUGCCCCGCCGCUCUCAUGCGACUGAACACCUGGAGAGGCGCUUCGGCGCGGACGUUGGCGACCGCGAAAGUCCCAGCGGCAGCACGUCGACGUGCUCCUCGUCUCUGCCGUGUCUGAGGGCCCCGCACCCGCCUCCGCGGAACAUUGAAAUCGUCGACGGCCCUGAUAGAGGCGCCACGAUUAUGAGCUGUGGCCACAGUGUGCAGCACCCUGGCGGCGAAGUGGCGAGCAGCUCCCAGCGGUGUCCCUCCUGUGGAGAUCUCCACGAUCAGUGCAUCACCGAUGGUGCCUCGGUUUCGCUUGCAGGACGCUCGCUCUGUAUGACAGGCAGUCGCACUGGUGUUCUCACCACCUCACCGCACUCGACGUCAACGGGCGCAGGAUUAGUGGAGGGGUCCGUGGGGUAUGGGGCGGCGUGCACGACCCUUAGCGAGGCGCCGCGCUGCAGUAGCGGGAGCAGCCGAGAGGUAAGUCCUAGCUACACAACCCGCUCAGGCCACGACAGUGGCGGUGGCGAUGAGGCAAGCAGCACCGUCACACCCUCGGCCCUCACUCGGCUGACUUACGCGCUGCCUCACGCAAUGGCUGCAUCAACAGCUGCAACGACCUCGUCGCGGAUUGCCCUCAUCGACCUUGGCCACGCUCAUCACAUCCUCCCUGGCACCACCGCCACCGCCUUCCCUCUUCAGUCACCGUCCUACCGCUGCCCUGAGAUGUCUCUGCGGCUGCCGUACACCACUGCCAUCGACAUGUGGUCGGUCGGGUGCGUCCUCUACGAGCUCCACACGGGUCACGCCCUCUUCCCCGAUGUUUGCGACGACGCGACGAUGCUGCAGUCGGCGGUGCGGGUACUUGGGAUGCCAGACGCAGCCUUUCUCACUACUGUGAAGACCUGCUGGAGGAAGUAUAAACAGCACAAAGCAAGCACAGUCAGGGCGGCCGCGCGCGCGCAGGGCGAUGUGACCUCAUCGGACACCGGCUCACAGAAGGUGCAGCUGCACUUGCGUCAGGCACACCCGCAAGAGCGGCGGCUAGCUGUAGAUGGCGAGGACGCGAACCAAGACGAGGAGGCCAUCAUUGUAGAGCGGUGCUGGCGCGAGUUCAUCCAGGUGUUGAAUGAUGCCGCAGGACAUCAGCGAGAACACGAGCGACGUCUCAAGGGCCAACAAGAGUCAAGCACGCCACCAGUCAUGGAGAACUCCCAGCGAAGCCCGAGGGGAGCAGCCUUGCCUCUCCCAAACGGCAGCGGUUGCACGACUACGUGGGAGACGGCGGAGCAACUGGCGCUGUUGAAGGUAAUGUUCCCCGGUGGACAAGUUCACGAGUCCGAUCAGUGUUUCUUCUUGCCAAGCAAGUGUGACUGGCAUCGGUAUGCGUGGGUGGACUUCUUGUUGGGCUGCCUCUACUGGGACGCUGGGGAGCGGCUCACAGCGACGGAGGCGCAGGUCCACCCGUAUCUCGCAUCCAGCUUCUCUCCUGAAGUGGCAGCCGCGACGGCUGUGACCGCCAACAACGCUGCUGCGUCGUCGGGGAUGGACAGAAAGGACGCAGUGGAUGAUACAACGAUGAGCGCCUCCGGUGUCUCCGCUGCCUCUAGUGAUGCCGUUCCGCGAAGGGUAGUGGCCCCCACCAUACGCCCCACGCACUGCUCGGGACUCCACUACCUCCGGCGCCACCCUCUGACGGCUCGCCUCCUCAAUUCAGCGGCAGAGGCGGCCAGUCAGCCCAGCAGCCCACAUGGCAGCGACUCCACCGCCAGUGACGACGCAGCACCGCUCUUGGCACCCCUCCUGAUGAACCCUUCUGCCAUUGUGCUGUUCGAGCUCCCCUCUAGCAACCGUGCGGCACCGUCAGCGCGCAUGUGGAAAGAGCAUCAGCAGCAUCUGUCUCACUGCUACGACUCGGCUCUGGACAUUCACUCCAUGUUACAGACCCCGGCCGAGCGACUGGCUCUGUCACCGUACCACAACAGCGAUCACCGCCGCAACCUCUUCGACCGCACGGGGAGCUACCCGUUCCGCGUCGUCUUCUCCGAAAGUGACCAAGGAACGGAGAGUUCCGUCGUAGUUUCCGCCGAGUCGUCCGUGCGCGGCAACCUCGCCGGCACGCAAAAGCCGCGCAACGACGAUCAGACGUCAGCGGUGAUGGUGCUGCCUCUCAACUGAGACGCUCUCGUGGCCAAGCAAAGAUACCGAAAGACGACGACGAGGCCACCUGCCGUCUGUUGUGCCUCACGCACAUGUGCACGCGUGAGUGUCUUUCUGCUAUACCUUGUCUACGCAUGUACAGCGGCGCGGAGCACACGAAUAAUAAUAGCAAUGAGACACAUUGAGAGCAAUCAAACAAAGGGGGAGAGAGGAGAGAACCCCACACACACACACACACACACGCACACCGAUGUAUCCCCUACCUCGCCUCUUCCCUCUCUCUCUCUCACUCGGCGUGUGCGUGUUUCGCGCGGGUGUCCCCGUGUCUUCUUUGAAUCCGCCGUCUCUCUCGCUCUUACGCCGUUCGUCUCGCUUUCUGUGUGAGAGUUUGUGUCACUGCUUUUAGCCAUCCCCCUCCCCCUUCUUUUUUCGCGUUUCGGUGGUGGUCCCAGUAGGCGAUGAUGAUCAUUUGUUUGGGUGCCUCCUCUGAUCUUUCUCUUCGGUGUGCUCUUUCCUUUCUCUGUGCUUGCCCUCAUGCUUUGCAGGUUGCACUGCACACAUACACACACACACUUUCUCUCUUUCCGUUUUCAUUGUGCUCGAUAUACCCCGAAACCUCUGUCUAUCCCUUGCUUGCGAUACCUUCUGGAUGGCCUUUGUAUAAGCUCAACUGGUCAUGGUCGUCGUCGCCGGCGUGUGUGUUUGUCGACAUGCGUGCGGUGCGUGUCAUGUUCGCCUUUUUGAGGGGUGGUUUGCCUUCUUAUGUGUUGGCCUCUUUCUUGCUUUCUCUUCGAUGUUUGUUGCGCCUGGAAACCAAAACGGUGAAGUGUCGCCUCAUCGCCCUCUGUCCCUCUUUCUCCCUGUGUGUGCGUGCGUGCGUGUGUGUGUGUGUGUGCGUUUAAGGCCACCUUCUCUCUUUUCGGUCUUAAGAAGCGUGCAUGCACACAUACGCAUCGACAAGC